UGUUCAAUGUUUGCUACAGCUCAAACGCUGUUGUUUUAUUACUAAACUCAUUGCAAAAACAAUUGUAACCCAAAUCGAUUGACCUCUAACGACUACGUUAUGUUUAAAUAUCUGGGUGUUGACAGUAUGUUUUAGCAUGUUCACUGAACACGUUUGCAGUGCAAUGCAACUGAGAAAAAAACAGAAUUAAUUAAAACAUUUUUAGAGGGGGGGAUGCAAGGAAACGCUGCUCAUCAUUAACCCAUAGAGAUCCGUUCAUCGUGCUGUCAUCGAGCUCUGCAGCCUUUUAUGCCGAAUGUCUGCUCAGAAAAAGACAGAAUCAUCACAGCUGAGAAAAAGCCAUGUGUACAGGCUUUUACACGUAUGGUGAAGGUUUGGAGGCAAGGAUGCACAGGUCAUGCUUGGUGUAUGGACUAUGAAAGGAGGACUGCCUACUACAUAGGCUACAGGCAGGUCUACAGACAAGAUUUUAAGACUACAUACAAAUGCUGUCGUGGAUGGUCCCCGUUCAAUGCAGAGGCAGGCUGCCUCUAUCAUUCCAUGAGAGGGAUUCUGGCUUUGUUGCUGUUGUAAAUCGUGAACAGAAACUUUUCAUCAGAUGCUCAUUUUGGGGACCAGCAACAUUUCAAUAGACUCUUUAUCUUUGUUCAGGAUGGUUCAGGAUUGUUGUU